AAUAUUUAACGCCGUUGACUUUUUUAAACAUGUUUGACCGUUCGUCUUAUUUAAAAAAUUUAAGUAAUUAUUAAUUCUUUUCCUAUCAUUUGAUUCAUUGUUAAAUAUAUUUUUAUGUAUAUAUAUAGUUUUACAUAUUUCACAAAAGUUUUUAAUAAGACGAACAGUUAAACAUGUUUAAGAAAGUCAACGGCGUCAAAUAUU
rfam:Oryza sativa Japonica Group DNA, chromosome 7, cultivar: Nipponbare, complete sequence.